GACAGAGGUCCCAAGCGUUAGGCGGAAUCACUGGGCUUAAAGCGUGUGUAGGCGGACUUCUAAGUACCUCGUGAAAUCCCACGGCUCAACCGUGGAACUGCUUGGUAUACUGGUUGUCUUGGGCCAUCUAGGGGCUAGCGGAACAAACGGUGGAGCGGUGAAAUGCGUAGAUAUCGUUUGGAACGCCAAUGGUGAAAACAGCUAGCUGGGGAUGUGCCGACGCUGAGACACGAAAGCCAGGGGAGCGAACGGG
rnacentral:rRNA from 1 species